AUUGAACGCUGGCGGCAUGCUUUACACAUGCAAGUCGAACGGUAACAGGGAGCUUGCUCCGCUGACGAGUGGCGAACGGGUGAGUAAUGCAUCGGAACGUACCGUGUAAUGGGGGGAUAACGUAGCGAAAGUUACGCUAAUACCGCAUACGCCCUGAGGGGGAAAGUGGGGGACUGGAAGGCCUCACGUUAUACGAGCGGCCGAUGUCGGAUUAGCUAGUUGGUGGGGUAAAGGCCUACCAAGGCGACGAUCCGUAGCGGGUCUGAGAGGAUGAUCCGCCACACUGGGACUGAGACACGGCCCAGACUCCUACGGGAGGCAGCAGUGGGGAAUUUUGGACAAUGGGCGAAAGCCUGAUCCAGCCAUGCCGCGUGAGUGAAGAAGGCCU
rnacentral:rRNA from 1 species